CAUUUGAUUAUGGUUGUUGUAUAACUCAGUGCAGACACAAUAUCAUGUGGCUGAGAAUCCUCACCUAAUCAAGACGCCCCCUGCUUAGUAGCAAUGACGGAUACGUUAUUGCGGCAGUGCUUCCCACUCGUGAGUUUGGGAACAACGAGAAAUAAAGCUCUCGCCGGCCGGGAGGAUGUACUGGAAUUAUCGCUAUCAAAACUACUGUCUCGUCGCCGUCGCAAUAGAAGGCAAGCGUUAAAAGCGUAGCCCGAAUCUUGAUAAGGUUUAGGUUUGGUACCCUAUGCAGACUCAAGAAAUACCACCAAGGCGGUUUGUCAUGAGGUUGCAGUAAUGUAACUAUAAGACGAGAUCAAGGUACAAGUAGCCCAAGACAAUGACAUUUAGAAGAAAAGAUGCAAAAAUCUUUACUAAUGUGAAUGAUGGGUGAACGUUGCGGAUAACCACUUCCGCAUAGGCAAGUGUACAGCAUAAACUGUUACGGCAUAAAGUCUAGGGUCGCUCCCGAAAGCUCACUUAUGUCGUCCUAUUGAGUGAAUAUGAUAGAAGGUAAUGACCAGCAACCCGAAGGGGUAUGCGACAAUCAUAAUCAAG
rnacentral:sRNA from 12 species